rnacentral:lncRNA from 1 species
CCUGAGUCCCUGUUUGUUUGAGACAGGGUCUUGCCAAACUGCUGAGGCUGGCCUAGACUUGUGAUCCUCUCACCUCAGUCUCCUGAGUCACUGGUAUUACAGGCAUGCACCACCCUGCCUGGCUUGCGCUUCCAGUCUUGCUGCAGAAACAAAAUCCCACCCAAAACCUUCCCUUAUAUGUCCUCAGAAUCCUUCAGCAGAAAUUCAAACCUUACCAAAGAUGGCUUUGUCCUCCCCCUAGUGGAAUAUACCAUCUUCAGUUCCCCUGGUUUGUGCCUCUUUGCUUGCAAGUUAAUAAUUGAUUUUUGCUGGAUGAUAGUCUUAAGCCUAGUGGUCUUUGGUUGACUAGACUUUAGCAGUUGUAAAUAAUUUAAGCUCAUGUAUGCUGUUGCCCUAUUGUGUCACCCUGGCAAAACACCAACCUUGGAGGAACCCAACAGUGCUGUAAAGCAUGUUUUCUGUAGGUUUGUACUAUUGUAAAUUCACGAUCACCAUCUUCAGUUAGGUUCUCAGCACUGCCAAUCAUCUGUUUUUAAUUUCUGUUUAAGUGCUUCAUAUCCUUUCCACUCUUAACAACCCCUUCAUCCUCUGAUUACUUCUGCCUGAGCUAACCCUGCAUCAUCUAUUGAACAUGUCAUUCCAAUGAAGAAAAGAGAUUUGGCCCUGGUAUUUCUCUCAAACUAUAAUUCUAUGCCUACUUCAUAGACUUCUCAUUUUCUCCAUUCCCUUGUCUCUUACUUGAUCUUCAAAUCCACUAUGCCUCUCCACUAUAUACAAUGAGCAUCACUAUUGUCAUGAGCAACCUCUACAUCACUAAAUUCAGUAAACAAUUCUUUUUUUUAUAUAUUUUAGUUACUGAUGGACCUUUAUUUAUUUGCUUAUGUAGCACUGAGAAUUGAACCCAGGGCUUCGCACAUGCUAGGCCAAGUGCUCUACCACUGAGGCACAACCCCAGCCCCAGGAAACAAUUUAGCUUGUCUUCUGGCAGUGCUGACACAAAAAUUGAAAAUCUCUAAUUAUCUAAGACAUAAUAACUUGCUUUCUAUUUUAUUAUUUUCCUCCUCAAUUCUUUUGUGGGCUUCUAUUGACCUAAUCUGUAAGUAUUGGUGUUUCUCAAAGCUCAGUACUAACCACUCUCUUUUUCUCAUAUUACAAUGUUCUAGGACUGUUCAUCCUCUCCUGUAGCUGCAGUUAGUACCUAUCAGCCAGUAACCUAUAGAUUUGUUUGUAUCUCUUGAUUCCAGACUUUUAACUAACUUACCAUUUCCACCAGGUAGACUUAGAAAAUUGAAGUCAUGCUAUCCCUGAAUUUAUUCCUCCCUCUCAAUGGUGGCCCUGCAACCUUUCCACUUGCUCCAAUCAGAAACCCUGGCAUUAUUUUGUACUCCUACAUCUCUCCCUCAAGUUCCAGGUUCAAUAAUCCCCAAGAAGAGAGUGGAGUUCCUAAAUAUUUCUUGGAGCUGUGCUCUCUUUCCUUACUGCCUAGGUACUAAGUUCUAUUUUCUCUCCUGAUGCUUUUUCAAAAGCUUUCUAGUGAUUUUGCCAUAUUGCUCUUGCAUCCUACAAUCUAUUCUCUUAAGCAGU